GAUUGGAUCCCAGGCCUAACACAUGCAAGUCGAACGCACCGCAAGGUCCGUGGCAGACGGGUGAGUAACACGUGGGAAUCUACCUUUUGCUUCGGAACCACUCUGGGAAACUGGAGCUAAUACCGGAUGUGCCCAUCCAUAGAGAUAUGGCGGGGGAAAGAUUUAUCGGCAAGGGAUGAGCCCGCGUCGGAUUAGCUAGUUGGUGGGGUAACGGCCUACCAAGCCGACGACAGGUAGCGGGUCUGAGAGGAUGAUCCGCCCGAGUGGGACUGAGACACGGCCCACACACCUACGGGUGGCAGCAGUUGGGAAUCUUGCACAAUGGGGGAAACCCUGAUGCAGCGACGCCGCGUGGAGGACGAAGGGUCUAGGCCUGUAAACUCCUUUUGCCCGGAAAGACUUAGGACGGUACCGGGAGAAUAAGCACCGGCUAACUACGUGCCAGCAGCCGCGGUAAU
rnacentral:rRNA from 1 species